rnacentral:lncRNA from 1 species
UCGCUAACUGAUACAAUAAUUAAUUAAAUCAGACACGAUUACCUUACAUUAGAUCAAAAUUAAUACGUGAAAUUGUUUCACUGUGAAAUAUCCACUUAUAGAUUCAAACCAAUGAUAAACAAAUUGAUCCCAAAACCAACGUUUGAAACGGUUGAUGUCGUGAUCUUAUUUCGUCAAGAUUUAUUGAUGGAAUAAAAAUUGAGCAACACAACAAAAAAAGCAUGAAACUGUAUUUCACUUAUUUCUAGUUUCUUAUGUUUUAGUAAAGAAUCAAUUAUGAACCGGUCAUAUUGACACUGGAUAAUAACCCUCGAAUAUUUAAUAAAUCACGUGAACAUUUAAACGUUUUGAACACACUGUGAAAAAUUACGAGGAAAUGGAAGUAAAAUGAGAAUACUAUAGAAUGUUGAGAAUAAUCCAAUUACAUUUAAAAAAGAAAACAGUUACAAAAUGAUUGGCAACUAUUACGAAGCUCACAAUCGCGAUUGGAGGUCAUUUUGAAAAGACAAAGAGAGGGGAGAGAGCAAAGAAAUUCUCUAUCAUUCUUCUGUCCUGUUUAUCCUCGAAGAGGUGCCCAUCUGGUGGGGGCUUUUCAGCAUCGAUUAUGGUGUGGGGUGAAAUACCCAUCAGAGGAACGCUGUGGCUCAUUCUUUCCUAAACUCUUCUCUCUUUUUCUCUCUCAUUCUUUCAAUACUUUACUCAAUGUAUGGAUGAUAUCAACCAUGUGCAGACUCCCACGUACCCAACGGUCGUUUCAUCUCACGUGUGUACUGGUCGACGUACAGGGUGUCCAAAAAUUAUUGGAUUCAACCUCAAAAUUAUAUUUAAAGUGAAUGAAAAAAAAAUCUUUGCAAUUGACUUUCUUGUCGUAAAAAACAAACAACACUUCACUUUCCCUUUUCAGCGUCUUUAUAUAUUUUUUCUGGAAGUUUCGUUUCAAGAGGUCAUUCGAAAAACAACGGUGGGGAGAACAGAAAAACGACACGACUCUCGAUUAUUCUCCAAGCAAUUUGUCAAUCAAUCACUCAACUCGAAUACUUCAAAUCCGAAAAUCGUGGGUUUACAGCUCCGAAUCUAUGAAUUUGAGAGUGGGAGGGAUUUAACGACAAAAUGAUUGAAUUUCCUCUCUUUCGAUGAUUGGAAGUCAAAAAUUUAUAGUGCACCAUUCCAUUACAACUAACUUUGAAAAAUUUUUCGAAAAAUCUCUCCCAAAGGACUUGCACGAUACAAAAAACGGUAAAGCAAGACAACAGCAUUUUUGAACCUCAUAUUUGGGACACCCUGAACGUACGAAUGUACUUGACGAGUAUGUGCGUGCUGCACACGUUCUUGUAGGCAUGACGGUCUGUACGUGCAACGGGAGGAUUGCUCUCGCCCGCUAUCGGGGCUUUCAAGCGACGUACCAACCCGGGGGAGCGUUGUCGAAGGGUCUCCUCAACACGAACAGGGACGAAAAUACAUAUAUGGGUGCACCCUCAAGAUAGGGCCAACGGCGAAUGAUUCACGGACGCGUGCCAGACCACAUUAAAGGCCGCCAUAAACUUGAACCCUUCUAACUAUUCACGGGAGCAAAGAUGACUCACGUGGGGAUCUGAUUUAUUUUUAUUUUCCAACGAAAUGCAAAUCGACAUGAAAAGUUGAAAGGACGUUUGAAAAUUUCUACUAAAAACUGAGGUCACAUUGCGAGUUAUCGAUGCUGCGUUCGAGGGAUAAAAAAUUUUUUUAAUUGCGGAAAAACUAUUGAAGAAGUUCGAUCAGUUUCCUCACUAGGAGCUUCCUUCCGCAUUGGCUGAAGCCAAGAAUACCUAAAAAAAAUAGGACUGACGAACUACGAUUCAAAUUCGAGAAAAAUAUCGAUCCACUGCUCAUCAAAAUAUUAAGGAGGAACAUCAGCUUCGCGUAAAGUGAGGUCAUCUAAAUACGAAUUUGAUUGUUUUCAACUGUUAUCUAGGUUAUGUAAAACCUGUUUGCUUUGUUUAUACGGCGGGACUAGCCCCCGAAAACUGAAAUAUUAUAAAAUUGCAGAAUUAAACGACCUCCAAUUUACGACGCUGAAGUUUGCAACGUUGGAGUCCAACGAAAUUAAGGAAAAUCACAUUUGUAAUUGACCAAUUUUUUAUUUUACGAAUCAUUGGUGUAGACUGAAAAAUUACGAAUUGCAAAUUAGGCAGGUAACAGAAUCGGAGAGUUACUGAAAUUGUUGGAGAGUUUUUUUAGAUCAUUUCGUUGGACUCCAACGUUGCGAACUUCAGCGUCAUUCCAAUUUUGCACAAAUUUUCUUUAGUUCAAACUGUGGAAUAGUACUUUUUUUCUAACCUAUCAUCAUUUUUAUUUGUUUUUGAGUAUGGAAAGAUGGGGCCUGUGGAGUUAUUGUGUAGGUGUUAAAUAUUCCAAGUUUGAAAAUUAUUUACUAAAAAGUGGCUGAAUGAAAUGGAUUGAAAGUUGACGAGGCUGUAGAAAAUAUAUCCAAACAUGUGUUAUAAAAGUUUCAUUAAGCUAUCACCAUUUUUCUCAAGCUGAUGAUCCUCCUUGACCCAAAAUCCAGAGUAACGAAAAGAAUUUAAAAAAAAUGUUCUCCAUUCGAGUCACAGGUUCUACUUUGGGAGACUUUAGACUCGAAUGCAAUAGGUAAAACGUCGCGAAAUGAACAAUUGAGGUGCUGAAUGAUGAGAAAAAUAAUGAGACAUGCGAAGAAAUGUUAAUACGAACCAAGAUAAAACUGGCAGCACCUCUUCGAGGGUAAAAAUAGCGCGGAACACUGUUUGCAUAUCGUUCCAUAUGAAAUGAUAUUUAGCGCCGGCAUAUGGUAUUGCGUGAGACCUUAGAACUGCAUAUAUUUCUACAUACAUGUAUGAUGAAGCACGCGUUCGGAGGUAAUAGUAGGCCGAGUAUGUAUGGGAGAGUAUUGUAGGGUUCUCACCAAAGCGUGACUAUCCCAUGACCAUCGACACUGCAAUUUUCGUACGUAUUCUAAUAAAAAUGUUAAAUGAGUCAAUUGGAA